ACACAUGCAAGCCGAGCGGUAUGAUUCUUUCGGGAAUCAGAGAGCGGCGUACGGGUGCGGAACACGUGUGCAACCUGCCUUUAUCUGGGGGAUAGCCUUUCGAAAGGAAGAUUAAUACCCCAUAAUAUAUUGAGUGGCAUCACUUAAUAUUGAAAACUCCGGUGGAUAGAGAUGGGCACGCGCAAGAUUAGAUAGUUGGUGGGGUAACGGCCUACCAAGUCGAUGAUCUUUAGGGGGCCUGAGAGGGUGAUCCCCCACACUGGUACUGAGACACGGACCAGACUCCUACGGGAGGCAGCAGUGAGGAAUAUUGGACAAUGGGUGCAAGCCUGAUCCAGCCAUCCCGCGUGAAGGACGACGGCCCUAUGGGUUGUAAACUUCUUUUGUACAGGGAUAAACCUAGAUACGUGUAUCUAGCUGAAGGUACUGUACGAAUUUGCACCGGCUAACUCCGUGCCAGCAGCCGCGGUAAUACGGAGGGUGCAAGCGUUAUCCGGAUUUAUUGGGUUUAAAGGGUCCGUAGGCGGAUCAGUAAGUCAGUGGUGAAAUCUCAUAGCUUAACUAUGAAACUGCCAUUGAUACUGCUGGUCUUGAGUAAGGUAGAAGUAGCUGGAAUAAGUAGUGUAGCGGUGAAAUGCAUAGAUAUUACUUAGAACACCAAUUGCGAAGGCAGGUUACUAUGUCUUAACUGACGCUGAUGGACGAAAGCGUGGGGAGCGAACAGGAUUAGAUACCCUGGUAGUCCACGCUGUAAACGAUGCUAACUCGUUUUUGGGUUUUCGGAUUCAGAGACUAAGCGAAAGUGAUAAGUUAGCCACCUGGGGGAGUACGAACGCAAGUUUGAAACUCAAAGGAAUUGACGGGGGCCCGCACAAGCGGUGGAUUAUGUGGUUUAAUUCGAUGAUACGCGAGGAACCUUACCAAGGCUUAAAUGGGAAUUGAUCGGUUUAGAAAUAGACCUUCCUUCGGGCAAUUUUCAAGGUGCUGCAUGGUUGUCGUCAGCUCGUGCCGUGAGGUGUUAGGUUAAGUCCUGCAACGAGCGCAACCCCUGUCACUAGUUGCCAUCAUUAAGUUGGGGACUCUAGUGAGACUGCCUACGCAAGUAGAGAGGAAGGUGGGGAUGACGUCAAAUCAUCACGGCCCUUACGCCUUGGGCCACACACGUAAUACAAUGGCCGGUACAGAGGGCAGCUACACAGCGAUGUGAUGCAAAUCUCGAAAGCCGGUCUCAGUUCGGAUUGGAGUCUGCAACUCGACUCUAUGAAGCUGGAAUCGCUAGUAAUCGCGCAUCAGCCAUGGCGCGGUGAAUACGUUCCCGGGCCUUGUACACACCGCCCGUCAAGCCAUGGAAGUCUGGGGUACCUGAAGUCGGUGACCGUAAAAGGAGCUGCCUAGGGUAAGAC
rnacentral:rRNA from 1 species